GUUACCUAAAAACAACAAUAAAAAUCAGCUUUAAAUGGUUGGUUAACUUUUUAAAUGUUUUCAGAUUUUGCUUCUGGAUCAUCCAAAGAAGUUCAUCAGAGACACACAGAAGUAUAAACCCUUCAGGCGGAUCGCCAAGAGCUGCCGGCCGUCACUCAAAGUCCUCUGCAGAGAAGUCCUGAACGUAAAAGUCCAGCAGGGCGAACACUCGUCUGUGCAGGACGCUCAGGCCACCAUGAGGCUUUACACACUGGUGAAGAAACAGUGGGAAGCCGAGAUCAGCGGCAAAAAGAAAAACAAAGAGUCCGAGGAGAAGAAGAAGAGGAAGCCGAGGUGAGGAGAGAGAGAGGAGGACGGAGGAUGGAGGGAGGAGGACGGAGG